rnacentral:tRNA from 1 species
CAGGGAGACAACAAAAUGUUAAAUAUUAAUUUUGUCACCUUAGGUCGAUCGGUAUCUCACAUUCUUAAUUUAUUAAGAAUUUUAUUUCCUAAGUUUUUUCUAGGUCACACCCAUUACUUUUCCUGGGCCAUUAGCUCAGGUGGUUAGAGCGCACCCCUGAUAAGGGUGAGGUCCCUGGUUCAAGUCCAGGAUGGCCCAUAUCUCUAUGUUGGGGGUAUAGCUCAGUUGGUAGAGCGCCUGCUUUGCAAGCAGGAUGUCAGCGGUUCGAGUCCGCUUACCUCCACUGAUUCCCACCUCUUCCAUAACCGGUAGAAAGGAAAUGUUUUGAGUUGUGAUUAUUAUUCUGAACGAAUCUAGCUUCCUAAUAAAAUUAUUAAGAUGCUGGACUCAUUGAAUUAAUUUCAUUGUUUUCAGAGAACCUUGACAACUGCAUAGAUUUUUUUUAAAGACAAUAAGCAUCUUUAAUGAUGCAGAUUUAUUAUUUGCGCGAAUGCAUUAAUAACAAUUCUAUUAAGCUGAUGCUUCAAUUAUUGAAGUUAUU